rnacentral:rRNA from 1 species
UGGGGAAUAUUGGACAAUGGGCGCAAGCCUGAUCCAGCCAUACCGCGUGGGUGAAGAAGGCCUUCGGGUUGUAAAGCCCUUUUGUUGGGAAAGAAAUCCAGCUGGUUAAUACCCGGUUGGGAUGACGGUACCCAAAGAAUAAGCACCGGCUAACUUCGUGCCAGCAGCCGCGGUAAUACGAAGGGUGCAAGUGUUACUCGGAAUUACUGGGCGUAAAGCGUGCGUAGGUGGUCGUUUAAGUCCGUUGUGAAAGCCCUGGGCUCAACCUGGGAACUGCAGUGGAUACUGGGCGACUAGAGUGUGGUAGAGGGUAGCGGAAUUCCUGGUGUAGCAGUGAAAUGCGUAGAGAUCAGGAGGAACAUCCAUGGCGAAGGCAGCUACCUGGACCAACACUGACACUGAGGCACGAAAGCGUGGGGAGCAAACAGGAUUAGAUACCCUGGUAGUCCACGCCCUAAACGAUGCGAACUGGAUGUUGGGUGCAAUUUGGCACGCAGUAUCGAAGCUAACGCGUUAAGUUCGCCGCCUGGGGAGUACGGUCGCAAGACU